UUGCCAGCGAUUAGGUCGGGAACUCAAAGGAGACUGCCAGUGAUAAACUGGAGGAAGGUGGGGAUGACGUCAAGUCAUCAUGGCCCUUACGACCAGGGCUACACACGUGCUACAAUGGCGCAUACAAAGAGAAGCGACCUCGCGAGAGCAAGCGGACCUCAUAAAGUGCGUCGUAGUCCGGAUUGGAGUCUGCAACUCGACUCCAUGAAGUCGGAAUCGCUAGUAAUCGUGGAUCAGAAUGCCACGGUGAAUACGUUCCCGGGCCUUGUACACACCGCCCGUCACACCAUGGGAGUGGGUUGCAAAAGAAGUAGGUAGCUUAACCUUCGGGAGGGCGCUUACCACUUUGUGAUUCAUGACUGGGGUGAAGUCGUAACAAGGUAACCGUAGGGGAACCUGCGGUUGGAUCACCUCCUUACCUUAAAGAAGC
rnacentral:rRNA from 3 species